rnacentral:lncRNA from 1 species
GCGAGAGCUCGCCCGCCAGAAGAACAUGAAGAAGCAGAGCGACUCGGUUAAGGGAAAGCGCCGAGAUGAUGGGCUUUCUGCUGCCGCCCGCAAGCAGAGUGCCCCAUCAUCUCUACCCCCAGGGACUCGGAGAUCAUGCAGCAGAAGCAGAAAAAGGCAAACGAGAAGAAGGAGGAACCCAAGUAGCUUUGUGGCUUCGUGUCCAACCCUCUUGCCCUACGCCUGUGUGCCUGGAGCCAGUCCCACCAUGCUCGAGUUUCUUCCUGUAGUGCUCACAGGUCCCAGCACCGAUGGCAUUCCCUUUGCCCUGAGUCUGCAGCGGGUUCCUUUUGUGCUUCCUUCCCCUCAGGUAGCCUCUCUCCCUCUGGGCCACUCCUGGGGGUGAGGG